UUCAGUGUGCAAUAAUGAUGAUACAGGCAGUCCCUGGGAUGAACAAGACAAGGUGAAGGCUAUUUAUAGAACAAGCAAAAUGCACAGCCUGGAAAUCUUUUCUGCUGUUUUCAAACCAUUUUUCCUCUGAAAUGAACACUUUAUAUGCUUAAGUGCAGUCAAGCAUUGGUAAAUGGUUUUUUGUUUCAAACAAGAAGGCCUCUUGGAAUGUGUACAAUACUUUAGUGUGUCCAAGGAAGAGAGAGUUUAUAGCAGUCAUUACUUCUUUGGGAAAUGUUUACUUGUACUUAUUGCAGAAAGGCACACAGUACAUGUAGGUAAUGUGUAUUUAUUGCAGUGUGACCUGAAACUGAAAUAUUCUGUGUAAAAAACUGAAUGUGGGGAUGGUGGGUGGAGGCGAGAGAAUGGUCAGGCAGCUAAACACAAGGCGAAAGCUGCUAUUGGUUUCGCUUUCUGAGGCUAAGCACAGCUUUCAACAAUUUGAGCAUUGCUGACUUACAGUAGCAGCCCUGCAUUUUGAGUGUUGAUCUGUAUAAAUGAAAAAGCCAGACAUUUAGCCAAACAGAUCAGCUUGUUGUAUCAGAUUGGUUCCUCAAAUGAAACUGAAUACAGUAAUAGUCAUAUUAAGCAACAGCCAUUUGAAAUGUUGACAUAGAAAGCCAUGUGACGUAUUGGGAGGCUUUAAUACACAUAUAUGCACUCUCUCACACACAUAUGGGAAGGGGUAGAAGAUUGAGAAUGAGAGAUUUACUUAGUAUGCCCUAAAUUACAGCUGACGGGAGUUUACUAUCGUGGAAGUGAUGUUUUCCCUUGUAAUUAAGAAAGUCUAGGCGAAGACGGCUGUUGGCCAAUUCAAUAAUAUUUUGUUUAAGGCACAGAAAAUUCUAAAAACACACAAAAAAGCGUAUGCAUGUGGAGGCAUGUAUACAUACCAUAGCAAGAAAAUAUGCUAAAUGACAUAAAACAAUGGUGGGACACUGCAGUGCAUAGCAAAGAAUAGUCUUGCUGGAAACUUUUGAUUUUAAAAAGGAAAGAUGUGAAACAAAGAGCAUAACAUUGUUAAGAGUGCCCCACAGGCCUUCUUUGACUCAGGCUUUAGUGCCUCAUCCCCCUUUUGGGUUUUGUUCUUCCAAGUGCCAAUUUCUCCACUGUUUACGCUGUCGUUCGCACAGAGAAAUAUUGGUGGUUGCUUUUGGUUAAGAAUUAAACCAAACACAAUUUAAAAAUAAAUAGGUAAAACCAUUAAACACCUAUUCACAUAGUUAAAGCACUUCACAGCACCCCCUUUAAAAGACUUUCUGGGGAAAAAAAGUUUUAUCCUACCGUCGGAAGGACAGUUUGGGGGGGGGGGGGCAUUUUGGCUUCCCUGGGCAAGGAGUCGAGAGGCAGCCACCGAGAAGGUCCUCUCUCACAGACUCCAAAACCAUGGUUGCGAUGGAGGUGAAACUGAGGGAAGGGCCUCUCCUGAGGAUCACAGGACCCAGAAAGGUUCUUAGAGGAAUAUAUGUUCUUCCAAAUAGUCUGGACUUGAGCCGUACAGCUCUUUAUAGGUCAUAAUCAGCAUAUUUAAUUGUGCCCGGAAACAGACUUGCCCACUGGCUGCAAGUUGUUGUAACAGGGAGGUUGUAUGUUCCCUUUAGCUAGCCCUGGUUAACAAUCUGGCUGCAGCUUGUUGGACAAUGUGGUUUCCAAACACUCUUCAUAGGCAGCCCCACAUGGAGUAUGUUACAGUAAUCUAAUGAGAUGCUACUAAGGAAUGUAAUCAGCAUUUUUGGUGCUGUUUAAAUGUGCAAAGGUGUUGCUAGCCACUGCAGAAACCUGGGCCUCCAGGUUCAACGCCAAGCCAAGAGUACUCCCAAAGUGAACCUGUGUCUUCAGGAGUGUGUCCCCAUCUAACUCCCUCCCUGGAGAGAUUAGAUCAGCCCCCUCCCACCUGUCCUUCAGAAAGAUGGUAAAGACCUGGCUGUGAGACCAAGCCUUUGGGGCAGUGCAAUAAUGGCAGCAAUAGGAAAUUUCACCCUGCUGACCAGAUCUGGUACUGCUGACUUGUAAUGGUUUUAAAUAAUUGUUUUAAUGUGAAGAUAACUGAAUUUAGUGUUUAUGUAUAUAUAUGUUUAUUUUAUGUUACAUCAUUGAAUGUUUGCCGUAUAUAUGUUUUGCUUCACCCUGAGUCCCCUUCGGGGUGAAAAGGGUGAAAUAUAAAUGUUUUAAAUAAAUUAUAAUAAAUAGAUAAUAA